rnacentral:lncRNA from 1 species
UUCCAGAAUCCAUUGUUUAUGAACCACAUUGAAAUAUCUUAAGUUUGAUGCUAUCGUGACGAUGUAUGAGCUUCUGUUCACAUGAAUGUUCCUGGCUGUAGCCCCCCUCACAAGAAGACCAGAUAGCACCUGUUCUUAGAUAAGACACCAGCGUGAAAACUCUAGAAUUUGGGAGUGAGCCUGAAACACUCCGCUGGGAAGAAAGACCAAGGAUGGUACCGGCAUGAAAACAGACACAUGGAACCAGUGGACCAGAAUAGAGAGUCCAGGAAUGAACCCACACAGAUGCGGUCAGCUAACAUUUGACAGGGGAACCAAGAACACUUAAUGGGAUAUGACACCAAAACUAUAAGCAAUAAGAGUAAAAACAAACAAGUGGGACUACAUCAAACUAAGAAGAUUCUGCACAGCAAAAGAAAUGAUCAACAUGAAAAGGCAACCUAUGAGAUGAGAGAAAAUUUUGUAAAUCCUCUAUCUGUUAAGGGGUUAAUAUCCAAAAUAUAUAAGGGUAUUGCCUAAUAUAGCAAAACCCCCAAAUAAUCCAAUUAAAAAAUGGACAAAGAACCUGAAGAGACAUUUUUUCCAAGGAAGAUACCCAAGGGCUAACAGGCACAUGAAAAAGUGCUUGCUAUUACUAAUUACCACAGAAAUGCAAAUCAAAACCACAGUGAGUUAUCACCUGACACCUGUUAGAAUGACUAUUAUCAAAAAGACAAGAAAUAACAAGAGUUGGUGAGGAUGUGGAGAAUAGGGGACUUUUGUGCCCUGUUGGUGGGAAUAUAAUUUGGUGCAGCCACUAUGGAAAAUGGAAUGGAGGUUCCUCAAAAAAAUAAAAAAUAGAACGACCGUAUGAUCCAGCAAUCCCACUUCUGGGUUAUAUCUGAGGGAAAUGAAGUCACUAUGUCAUAGAGCUAUGUGCACUCUCCUGUUCACUGAAACCUUAUUUAUGAUAGCUAAGACAUGGAAACAACGUAGCUGUCCGUUAAAGCCUGAAUGAGUAAAGAAAAUGGUGUGUAAUGGGAUAUUAUUUAGCCACAAAAAGGAAGGAUGUCUUGCCAUUUGUGACAGUGUGAAUCUGGAGGGCAUUAUCUAAGUGACAUAAGGCAGAGAAAGACAAAUACUAUAUGAUAUUACUUAUAUGUGGAAUCCAAAAAAUACGGAACCCAUAGAAACAAAGUAGAUUGCUGGUUGCCGGGGAAAGGGUGGGGGAAAUGGCUGAAGAUGGUCAAAGAGUAC